rnacentral:misc_RNA from 1 species
UCUUUUGCAACCUAUGAUCGCAAGGAGUGACUUUUUAUCUCCUGUUCUUGAUGAUGUGUGCAAAACAGUUGAAUGUGGAAAGGGAACCUGCAAGCCAUCCCAUAACAGCACUUUGUUUUAUGAAUGUGAAUGUGAUUCUGGUUGGAAGCAGACUCGCUCUGACCAUGAUGAUCAUCACAAGUUUCUUCCUUGCAUAGUUCCCAACUGUACCCUGGACUACUUAUGUCAGGCAGCUCCCUCACCGAUUCAAAAUAAAGCAAGCAAAGCUAAUGCAUCAAUUUUUGAUCCCUGUUUUUGGACUGAUUGUGGAGGCGGUUCCUGUAACAAGACAUCUACUUUCACUUACAGUUGCGAAUGUACAGAGGGUUACUAUAACCUUCUCAAUGUCUCUAACUUUCCAUGCUUGAAAGAAUGUUCGAUUGGAAUGGAUUGUUCAGGACUUGGGAUUUCGAUUUCAAAUAAGUCAGCUUCUCCAGCACCUGUAUUAACUGAUAGCGGUCAGAAUCAAGCUGGUUCAAGUCUUCAACACAGUUUCCCUUGGUUGAUGGCAUUAAUCAUGUCUCUGGCUAUGAUUCAGUGGAAAUAGAAUUGGAGUACCACAUUCCAUUUAGAUCAUAUACAGUUUCUCAUGAUCAUCUGCUUUUGAUUUAUAUGUUUGAUGCCUUAUUUAGUUAAAUAAUUGCAUUUCUGUCUGUAAAUUUCCCCAUUAUGUGAAUGAGUUAGAAUACAAAUUCUUUAGGGUUUAGUGUGUAGCUUGUAAGCAUAUGAUGCAGAGAGGAUUUUGUUA